rnacentral:rRNA from 1 species
UACGUAGGGUGCAAGCGUUAAUCGGAAAUACUGGGCGUAAAGCGUGCGCAGGCGGUUAUGUAAGACAGGUGUGAAAUCCCAGGGCUUAACCUUGGAACUGCAUUUGUGACUGCAUAGCUAGAGUACGGUAGAGGGGGAUGGAAUUCCGCGUGUAGCAGUGAAAUGCGUAGAUAUGCGGAGGAACACCGAUGGCGAAGGCAAUCCCCUGGGCCUGCACUGACGCUCAUGCACGAAAGCGUGGGGAGCAAACAGG